GGGAUGGAUGGGAUCUUCAACAGAGCAAUAAAACACUCACUGCGCAGCUGCAUCAGCCAGUACCCACACAUCCACAUCAUCCACAUCCACAUCCAAAUCCACAUCCAUAUCCAUAUCCACAUCAUCCACAUCCACAUCAUCCACCUCCACCUCCAUAUCCAUAUCCAUAUCCCUGCCCACAUCCACCUCCAUAUCCACAUCCACCUCCACAUCUGCAUCCCUAUCCAUAUCCACAUCCACAUCCACCUCCACCUCCACAUCCACCUCCAUAUCUACAUCCACCUCCACAUCCAUAUCCAUAUCCACAUCCACCUCCACAUCCACAUCCACAUCAUCCACAUCCAUAUCCACAUCCACAUCCUUGUCCACAUCCACCUCCAUAUCCACAUCCACCUCCAUAUCCACAUCUGCAUCCAUAUCCACAUCCCUGUCCACAUCCAUAUCCACCUCCACAUCCACAUCCACAUCAUCCACAUCCACAUCAUCUACAUCCCUAUCCACAUCCUCCACAUCCACGUCCAUAUCCAAAUCCAUAUCCAUAUCCACAUCCACAUCCAUAUCCACAUCCACAUCAUCCACAUCCACAUCCAUAUCCAUAUCCACAUCCAUAUCCACAUCCUCCACAUCCACGUCCAUAUCCAAAUCCAUAUCCAUAUCCACAUCCACCUCCACAUCAAUAUCCACAUCCACAUCCAUAUCAACAUCCCUGUCCACAUCCACCUCCACAUCCACCUCCCUAUCCACAUCCACAUCCCUGUCCACAUCCACCUCCAUAUCCACAUCCAUAUCCAAAUCCACAUUCAUAUCCACAUCCACAUCAUCCACAUCCAUAUCCAAAUCCAUAUCCAUAUCCACAUCCACAUCAUCCACAUCCACAUCAUCCACAUCCUUGUCCACAUCCACCUCCAUAUUCACAUCCACCUCCACAUCCACAUCCAUAUCCACCUCCAUAUCCAUAUCCAUAUCCACAAUCACAUCCACAUCCACAUCCACCUCCAGAUCCACCUCCAUAUCCAUAUCCACAUCCACAUCCACAUCCACAUGUAUCCAUCCAUCUGUACAGAUAGUUUUGCCUCGC
rnacentral:lncRNA from 1 species